CACGUAGGGCGCAAGCGUUGUCCGGAAUUAUUGGGCGUAAAGAGCUCGUAGGCGGUCUGUUGCGUCCGCUGUGAAAACUCGGGGCUUAACCCCGAGCCUGCAGUGGAUACGGGCAGACUAGAGGUAGGUAGGGGAGAAUGGAAUUCCCGGUGUAGCGGUGAAAUGCGCAGAUAUCAGGAGGAACACCUAUUGCGAAGGCAGCUCGCUGGGACGUGACUGACGCUGAGACGCGAAAGCGUGGGGAGCAAACAGG
rnacentral:rRNA from 1 species